GAAAUGCGAUACGUAACGCGAAUUGCAGAAUUCAGUGAAUCGUCGAAUCUUUGAACGCAUAUUGCGGUUUUCGGGCUUGCUCGAAGACCAUGCCUCUUUCAGUAUCGGCUACCCAUCAAUCCGGAAGUCUGUGGACCGAAGGGAAAAUGAGAGUGUCGGGACCUCUUUUGUUUCUUGGCUCUCUUGAAAUUUUGGAAGGUGGAAAACUUGAGAGGUUGCUUUUUGGCUAGGCUUGUGUGAUUCUAAUGUCUCUCUGGACCUUGCAUGGAAGUGGGGUCGGGAGGUGUAGCUGUCUGAACCUUGAAGCGUGUCUCUUAGGUAAUCUGUUUAUGCCUUCAAAGCGGAAUAACUUUUUUUGCAUCUGAUCUGAAAUGAGGUAGGAGGACCCCCUGAACUUAA
rnacentral:misc_RNA from 1 species